UACGUAGGGUGCGAGCGUUAAUCGGAAUUACUGGGCGUAAAGCGUGCGCAGGCGGCGCGUUAAGACAGGUGUGAAAGCCCCGAGCUUAACUUGGGAAUUGCGCUUGUGACUGGCGUGCUGGAGUGUGGCAGAGGGAGGUGGAAUUCCACGUGUAGCAGUGAAAUGCGUAGAGAUGUGGAGGAACACCGAUGGCGAAGGCACUUUACUGGGCUAUUACUAACACUGAGAGACGAAAGCUAGGGUAGCAAAUGGG
rnacentral:rRNA from 1 species